AACACAAGGGUUGCGACCGUCUGUGUGGCAGGCCCUUCACGUGUAAAACGUGGUGUGCGUGAAUGGCUCACACGAUUACGGAGGCUGGGAGUCCUGCAUUCUGUCUGCAAACUGCAGACCCAGGGAAGUCGGUGGGGUGGCUCUCCGAACCGGAGGGCUGAUGGUGCACGUUCCCGUCCCGAGGCGGGAGUGGACGGUCCCAGCUCAGCAGGCAAGCAGAGAGAAGCCGGUCCUGAGAUGAAGGUCCACGGAAGGAUCGACGAAGAAGAACUCCAGGAAAGACCGUGGCGGGAUGGAGAAGAAUCGAGAACAGGGGACAAUUUGGGGCCAGUCCCCAGCGUGGCGGUGGGGAGCUUUCAGCCCGACCCUCGGGGGACCCAGGCAGAUUCCGCACCUCCACGAGCCUUGCCGGCCAAGGCCACGGGUGAGGGAGGGAGCGGAGACCCAGAUCCCCGGCCCCUCCUGUGCUCUGUGCCUCCGGCAAAGCAGCUCUCGCAGCCUGAGUUGCCCACAGGAGGUGUUGGCCACGGGAACAGCACGGAGAGCCCAGAGCAGGAAGGAGAAACGGGAAUGCAGCCCAAGGGCACCUGGCCAGACCCUCCACACUCUAGAACCUCCCAAGACCUUCAGCGCGGCAGGACCCCCAUCAUCUGGGGACCCGCUGCCCAGGGCGAGCCGUGGAGGCUCCUCUGUGCUUAUUAUGCACGAGGCCCCUGCACUCCUCUGAGCCUCACUCAGAUCCGAGAGCUGGUGGCUCAUUCACCCCCGUGAGUGUCGCUCCCUGGGGCACCAAUGUCCACACCGGCGCUGUGCCCCUUCAGAUGAACUCAGCUUCUUACUGUCAAACGUCUCUUGAUCUCCGCACAGAGCAAUAAAACCUCUCCUCCUGGCAGACCACGCCACGGACAAGAGCAGUGUCCUUUUGUGAUGUCACCCAGCUGGGCAACGGAGUGGCUGGGCUGCCUCUGCCCGACCCUGUCCCUGCAGGUAGCUGGCAUUGGACCCGGGCCCAGACUCCGCAACCCCCCCAACUUCCCCCAAUCUGCCAGGCAGCCUGUCACCGCCCUCAUUGUGUGCCUUCAUUAGCGUUCAGCCCCUUGAGUCUGUCUCCUCCUUCCCUAUUUGCUGCUGGACUGUGGGUCUCGGGUGGUCAGGGGGCAGGAGAGCGUUGGGGACAGGCACAGGCCUCCCACCCGCCUCCGGUGCCUACGAUCCCUGGAAAUUUAACAGCCAAGGGAGACGUUCCAAGUCCGGCGGAUGCCACACCGAUUCGGGGCAGGAAGCCCGCCGCUGCUGCUGGGGUCGCGGCGCCAGAUGGGGACACGUGCUGGAGAGACCCGGCAGUGCGAUCAUACCCUGAGUGACCCUAAAAAAGGAGGAGGACGCUCAACAAUCGGGCCGCGCCCCGCAGCGGGCACCAGACUUGCCGCCAGUCCUCCGCCCGUGGCCAAGCCCUCCGUCACAGACCCGUCGGACCACGGCCUGUCCUGCAGCCCGCGCAGGAAGGGAGCCCACUCGCCUCCCAUGGUGCACGGUGACCACGGAAGAGGGUACACGACACGACGUGCCAGGGCCGAGAAGGGAGGGCAGGACCCACGCUCUAAAACCACAGCCCUGUUGUAGGAGCCGGGUGGUAUAUUUAGCAAAGCAGGAUGUUUGUGGGCAAAUCAACAUUUUGCUGUAAAUAAAAUUUUGAGCUGAGGAUUGCAGAAA